rnacentral:tRNA from 1 species
CAACUAGUUGGUUAUGGUUAGCGGUGUCGGGAUGUUCUCAGCAUCCCAAUACCGCGUGAGUUCUGCCUCUUCUUUAGUUGC